rnacentral:rRNA from 1 species
GACGAACGCUGGCGGCGUGCUUAACACAUGCAAGUCGAACGCUGAAGCCUAGCUUUUGUUGGGUGGAUGAGUGGCGAACGGGUGAGCAACACGUGAGUAACCUGCCCCCUUCUUUGGGAUAACGCCCGGAAACGGGUGCUAAUGCUGGAUAUUCACUGAUCUUCGCAUGGGGGUUGGUGGAAAGGUUUUUUCUGGUGGGGGAUGGGCUCGCGGCCUAUCAGCUUGUUGGUGGGGUGAUGGCCUACCAAGGCUUUGACGGGUAGCCGGCCUGAGAGGGUGACCGGUCACAUUGGGACUGAGAUACGGCCCAGACUCCUACGGGAGGCAGCAGUGGGGAAUAUUGCACAAUGGGCGAAAGCCUGAUGCAGCGACGCCGCGUGAGGGAUGGAGGCCUUCGGGUUGUAAACCUCUUUCGCUCAUGGUCAAGCCGCAACAUUGGUUGUGGUGAGGGUAGUGGGUAAAGAAGCGCCGGCUAACUACGUGCCAGCAGCCGCGGUAAUACGUAGGGCGCGAGCGUUGUCCGGAAUUAUUGGGCGUAAAGGGCUUGUAGGCGGUUGGUCGCGUCUGCCGUGAAAUCCUCUGGCUUAACUGGGGGCGUGCGGUGGGUACGGGCUGACUUGAGUGCGGUAGGGGAGACUGGAACUCCUGGUGUAGCGGUGGAAUGCGCAGAUAUCAGGAAGAACACCGGUGGCGAAGGCGGGUCUCUGGGCCGUUACUGACGCUGAGGAGCGAAAGCGUGGGGAGCGAACAGG